UAAGCGGAGGAGAAGAAAGUAACAACGAUUCCCCUCGUAACGGCGAGUGAUGAGGGCAAUCAUUCAUUUUUUCUGUUUCUUCUGUUUCCUAUUCCUAUGUCUAUUUUAUUUUUCUGUUAUUUUCCAUUAUUUCUGUUUUCUAUCCCAAAUGAAUAAUUCUCGGCGAGGGAGAGAUGCUUACCAAGGGG
rnacentral:rRNA from 1 species